rnacentral:rRNA from 1 species
UACAGAGGUCUCAGGCGUUGUUCGGAUUCAUUGGGCGUAAAGGGUGCGUAGGCGGCGCGCUAAGUCAGGCGUGAAAUUUCGGAGCUUAACUCCGAAACUGCAUUUGAUACUGGCGUGCUUGAGGACUGGAGAGGAGACUGGAAUUCACGGUGUAGCAGUGAAAUGCGUAGAUAUCGUGAGGAAGACCAGUGGCGAAGGCGGGUCUCUGGACAGUUCCUGACACUGAGGCACGAAGGCCAGGGGAGCAAACGGG